GGGGAAAUCGUCUAGUGGUAAGACACAGACUUUGCAUCUACAGUGCAACAUGUCUGCAACCGGUGUUCGAUUCACCGUUUCUCCA